rnacentral:rRNA from 1 species
UACGAAGGGUGCAAGCGUUGCUCGGAAUUAUUGGGCGUAAAGGGUAGGUAGGUGGUUACGUAUGUCUGAGGUGAAAGCCCCGAGCUUAACUUGGGAAGUGCCUUGGAAACGGCGUAACUAGAGUAUUGGAGAGGUUUGUAGAAUUCCCGGUGUAGCGGUGAAAUGCGUAGAGAUCGGGAGGAAUAUCAGUGGCGAAGGCGACAAACGUGGACAAUUACUGACACUAAACUACGAAAGCGUGGGGAGCAAACAGG